GACGAACGCUGGCGGCGUGCUUAACACAUGCAAGUCGAACGAAGAGCGAUGGAAGCUUGCUUCUAUCAAUCUUAGUGGCGAACGGGUGAGUAACGCGUAAUCAACCUGCCCUUCAGAGGGGGACAACAGUUGGAAACGACUGCUAAUACCGCAUACGAUCUAAUCUCGGCAUCGAGGAUAGAUGAAAGGUGGCCUCUACAUGUAAGCUAUCACUGAAGGAGGGGAGUGCGUCUGAUUAGCUAGUUGGAGGGGUAACGGCCCACCAAGGCGAUGAUCAGUAGCCGGUCUGAGAGGAUGAACGGCCACAUUGGGACUGAGACAAGGCCCAGACUCCUACGGGAGGCAGCAGUGGGGAAUCUUCCGCAAUGGAUGAAAGUCUGACGGAGCAACGCCGCGUGAGUGAUGACGGCCUUCGGGUUGUAAAGCUCUGUUAAUCGGGACGAAAGGCCUUCUUGCGAAUAGUGAGAAGGAUUGACGGUACCGGAAUAGAAAGCCACGGCUAACUACGUG
rnacentral:rRNA from 1 species